AAGCAGAGAAAUUGAAGAUGAUGACAAAAGCUUGAGAGAGGCAUCAUCCACAUAUAAGAAAAAUCAGUGUGGUGUAUGGUGGGGGUUGUUGGGUUCCUUGGAGACGCUCCGAGUAAUAGCGGCAGUUUACCUUUUUUAUUAAUAAUCAACGAACACACCCACUUGAAACAAAAUUUGAAGCUGCUAGGGAAAUAAAUUUCACAAGAAAGCCAACACGAAUUUCAGGAACUCAGCACCACUUUGUUUUCAUUUGGACACUGCUUGGAUGUUGGAUCUGCCUCUGAUCAAUCUAUUACAGAAUUUAGGCCCACCAAGUGUCAGUGGACUAAUAGCUUGCACCAAGGAAUUAUUGGGAGGUAAAGUCGGAGCCAUCAACUUACUUGGCUUUGAUCAUACUGCUGACAGAAAUCAAAAUACCCGUCUCAAAUGCUGAUAGCAAAGAGUCAAAUAUCAUGCCAACAGCCGUAUGAAAGAAUGGUCCAUGAAAUAGUUUCUACUCCUGUACUGGAGGUUAUAUCUGACCUCACAGGCAUUAAAGCCAAAGUUCAAAAGCUGGUUGAGGACUUGAGGAGUGAUUCGCUUGAAACUCUAAGAACUAGUACAGCUGAACUACGGUUGCUCACCAAGAUUGAUGCGAAUAAUUGGACGGUGAUUGCAGACUAUGGAGCAAUUAGCCUUUUGGUCAAUUUGUUAAAUUCCACGGACACUAAGAUUCAAGAGAAUGCUGUUACAGCACUUGUGAACUUAUCAAUCGACAAUAAUUGCAAAACUAUCAUUGUUCAAGCCAAUGCAAUUGAGCCUUUGAUUCAUGUUCUUCAAACAGGUAGCCCGGAGGCAAAGGAGAACUCAGCUGCUACUCUUGGUAGUCUUUCCGUGGUUGAUGAUAACCAGGUCAAUAUUGGGAGGUCUGGGGCAAUAGGGCCUCUGGUUGACUUGUUGAAGGAUGGUACUCCUCGGGGAAAGAGAGAUGCAGCUACCGCACUGUUUAAUUUGUCAUUGCUUUCCGAAAACAAGCCAAAAAUUGUGGAGGCUGGAUCAAUCAAGCAUCUUGUGAAGUUGAUGGACCCAGCUACAGGAAUGGUCGAGAAGGCAGUAACCGUCCUGGCAAAUCUUGCAUCAACAGAUGAAGGAAGGAUCGAAAUUGUACGUGAGGGUGGUAUUGCUUUGUUGGUUGACACUAUUGAGUUAGGUUCUGCCAGGGCAAAAGAGUAUGCAGCUGCAGCAUUAUUGUGGCUUUGUGGAAUCACGAGUAGAUAUUGCAUCAUGGCAAUCCAGGAGGGAGCUAUUCCACCAUUAGUGGCACUUUCACAAUCAGGCACCGCACGGGCCAAGGAAAAGGCCCGGGCACUACUCACCUGCUUCAGUAGAAAUAAGCUCACAUCACAUUAGUAGGGGAUCGGAAGGGACCAGUUCAUAGACAUGGUUUGGCACUUACAGCUUUGUUCGUGGUGUAUUUGCAUUCAGAUGGUUCCAGAGGGCACGCACUUGCACUGUUGGCAGCAGAGUCCACAAUACUUCAAACACCUGUCCUUCACCCCUGCAUUCAAGCAUCUUACCCCACAUUUUGAAUCACAAACACCUUUCAAAAGAAGAAAACGAAAAGAAGGAAAAAGAUCAAAACAAUAAACCAGUUAAUCGCUUGAACAAGGAGGAAUGAAUGAAAGGUUGUAGAGGAAUCGGCAGUGCCAUACUGGAGGAAGAAUGAGCUCAGAAUAAAUGAAAGAAGAACCAAAGUGACGGAAAGAGAUUUCAUCUUCUCCUUCUGCUUUAAGGAUCAAAGUUCAAGAGGUUAAUAAAGGACAAAGUGGAUGAAGGACAUGUGUCAUAUUUGGCAUGAAGUUGCCAUUGUGGAGAUAUAAAGAGUUUGUUGUUCUUAACGAUAAACAACCUAAGAAUCUCUUCGGUAUAUUUCAAAUCAAACUUGAUGUGAACGAGUUUAGCUGGUUGAUCAUUCAAAACAACAUGAAUUUAUUUUAAGUGAGAAUUAUACUGAAGUUGAAGGUUAGAGAGCAAUUGGAUUCUUUCCUUAGUAGGCAAGUUGGAAACCUCUUUUAUUA